UACAGAGGGUGCAAGCGUUGUUCGGAAUUAUUGGGCGUAAAGCGCGUGUAGGCGGCUUUGCAAGUCGGGUGUGAAAGCCCUCAGCUCAACUGAGGAAGUGCGCCCGAAACUGCAGAGCUUGAGUGCCGGAGAGGGUGGCGGAAUUCCCCAAGUAGAGGUGAAAUUCGUAGAUAUCGGGAGGAACACCAGUGGCGAAGGCGGCGAUCUGGGUAGAUACUGACGCUGAGGUGCGAAAGCGUGGGGAGCAAACAGG
rnacentral:rRNA from 1 species